GGAUUCCUUGUCAAUGUCAGCAGCUCCUCUCCGCGUCUCUCCCGUUUGCUUCAAGGUUACCUCUAAUCCAAAGCAGCACUUGGAGGAUCCAGUUCAUUUUAAAAGGCACCAAGUUACCAAACAGCUUCGCCACUGUCUGCUUUCAAUUUCUCAGCUGGCUGGGAGUUCAAGUGAGAUUGUCCUAACUUUGCAAGCCCGUGCAGCUUCAAGGCACUGAGCUAGGAGAGUCUGUGCCAAGGUGUGGGUCACGCCCCAGGAGAACACGCCCCAAGUGAAGCUGCAUAAUGUUCAGAAAUUGAGCAUGAAAAAUGUGUAGCACGUGGUGCUAUUUAAUAAUCAAUAGCAGAGUCAUUUGGACUUCAAUAUGGAAAUAUGAUGACAAGGAUAGCUCUUCUGCCAAGUCCUCGGACAGAUCACUAGAGCCGGGAUUUGGUGACGACCACUCCUGGCAACAUGAUACUGGACCAGCUGCAAUGACGAUCAGAAACAAAAGCACAGAUGAAGACAAGUGUCCAAGUUCUGGUAUGGCCCCAUGACUCACAGUGCAACCUCAGAUAACUUUUCUGGGUUAGUUUCCUUAUCAGUUCGAUGGAUAACAAACUCAUACUGUGGCAUGGCUUUAGAAACUGACUUUAAAUCAUCUUUGCGCUACUGAUGACCCAGAUAUUCAGAUAUGAAAUAGGGAAGCACACAGCUCACAAUGUACUGAGUGAGAGGACAGAAAGUCUUCAAUGUUCUACAAAUAUUUCAGGUGGGGUUGCCAUUCAUUCUCUGUGUUUUGGCAACCCUUUUGGUAGCACUAAUCUUUAAUAUGAAUCCACUUUAACAGAUGUCUCCUUAUGGCCAAUGUUUACCCCAGUUGGAGUCAAUGGUGUUUUCCCUUAGCUAUUACAUGGCCAUAGUUACCAUAGAUCAGGGGUGGCCAUGGUGAUCUAAUACAUAACUUGGCCCAGUGGUCAUGGCGGUGCAAUUAACAGAGCAGCCCAAUAAUAGGAAUGUCUAUGUUGAUAGCGAUGAGGUUAAUAAUGCUCUCUAGACAGAAUAGAACUGAAUAGAGUCAUCCCACCCAUGUCUUCUUUCAACCGCACUCUUGGGAGGCACUACAACACAUAGGCAAUAGAAGGUUAACUAAAGAUGGGACUCUGGUAAUUCGGUUUCCACUAUGUGGUCACCAUGCUGGAGUGGAACUCUCAGUGAUGCAACUGCUUUAGUGUCACCCACAGUCCCAUAAGAAAGCCCAGUAAACUCAUUGGUUCACCAAGCUGGACUUGGCUACCCUUUCUUUGGCCUGUCAUUGAUGCCCUAUGUGGGGUGAAUCAAUGCUUGUUCGCAUCUCCCUUAAAAAGUAACACAACAAAUGAAUUUUAUUGAUCUAAGUAAUUGUGCAGUGGGGGAGGGGACUCUAGACAUGGUAUCCCAAAUGAUUUUACACCCUGGUGUGUGAGAAAAUAGUAACUAGAACCUACAAUUGUACUAUCCAGCAUAGGAAGCAUGUCUGUUUCUCUAAAAGGAUACUAGGUGAAAUGACUGACGUUUAAUGAGCAUUCUGUACAAAUGCCUUCAGUGAAUAAGAUGGGCUCAUCUGGUGGGGGAAGGGGUCAUGUCACAUACAUUGGUUGACUUUGGUAAGGCUAAAUAAAACUCUUCCAUCAGCACCUAAAGGCCA
rnacentral:lncRNA from 1 species